UUCAAAAAUGAACCGAUUUCUUCGCCCUUACCACUGUGGCUCCAUUAUAAAUCAGACAUGGUGUCUAAGUGGCCUAUUCCCUGGUGAAAUUAAAGGGUGGGGAUGUAGACAUUGUGAAGUGUGAGGAUUUUGGCAGCGUGUUGAUGUCGGUCAGUGUCUGCGUGAUGAACCGAUUCACCGCACAGACGCACAGAGACACAGAGAGCCGGAGACAGAGAGAGAGAGAGACAGAGAGAAUGUCUGAUCGCGGUGUGUACACGGAGUUAGACUGAGAGUCCGCUGCUGAACGAGCUCCAGGCUUCCCCUUCCACAGCAUCGAAGGCAGAAGAGCAGACUCUCCACCAUUUGUGAUCCAGCAGCUUGAGCACGAGUGCACGAGCUUUCUAGAGUGUGGUGGGGCUUUCAGAGCGUCUUGGGAAAAAAGAGACCUCGAAGACACUUGGGUGAAUCUUUACGGAGAGACGUCAAAUGUGGACAGCCUUUUUUCCAACCUGGACAUAUAGAAUUACACAAAGCAGGAGAUCUUGUUCUGCAAAGCCAAUCCUCCUGGUGUACCUGUAAACCAAAGUAUCAUCAGAAAUUUACGGAUUCCUUCUGCAGUAUGCUCUGGACUGUGCAUGAGACGAGUGAAGCACUAGAUGUGACAGGAGAAAACUAGGACGCAUCUCAGGAUGGCAGAGGAGAAACACGCCUCUCUAUGUUGUGAUCUUCAGAUAGGGUUUUGAACCGCUGAGCGCUCUGACACUCACAUUCGUCCCGCACUGAGACUGCAGCGAUUCCUUCA